rnacentral:tRNA from 1 species
UAGAAAACUAGGUCUCGAACCUACACUGCGGGAAUCAAAACCCCACGUACUACCACAUUAUACUAUAUUCU